rnacentral:rRNA from 1 species
CCUACGGGAGGCAGCAGUAAGGAAUAUUGGUCAAUGGAGGCAACUCUGAACCAGCCAUGCCGCGUGCAGGAAGACGGCCCUAUGGGUUGUAAACUGCUUUUGAACUAGAGAAAACCUUGGUACGUGUACCGAGUUGAUAGUAUAGUUAGAAUAAGCAUCGGCUAACUUCGUGCCAGCAGCCGCGGUAAGACGAAGGAUGCAAGCGUUAUCCGGAUUCAUUGGGUUUAAAGGGUGCGUAGGCGGACUGAUAAGUCAGUGGUGAAAUCUCUCAGCUUAACUGAGAAACUGCCAUUGAUACUGUUAGUCUAGAGUACAGAUGAUGUGGGCGGAAUAUGACAUGUAGUGGUGAAAUACUUAGAUAUGUCAUAGAACACCGAUUGCGAAGGCAGCUCACAAAACUGUAACUGACGCUGAGGCACGAAAGUGCGGGGAUCAAACAGGAUUAGAUACCCUGGUAGUCCGCACCGUAAACGAUGAUUACUCGUUGUUGGCGAUAUGACAGUCAGCGACCAAGCGAAAGCGANAAGUAAUCCACCUGGGGAGUACGCCGGCAACGGUUGAAACGUUAAAUGAAUUUACGGCUUGAGACGNGCGAGGAGACACGAGGGAGAG